rnacentral:rRNA from 1 species
CCCCCCAAAAGUGCAUAGCUACCCGAAAGGGUAAUUAAUACACUAUAGGAGGCUCCGACACAAGUCGGGGUCUUUAAAGGCCUUGGCCGAUGAGGGAUUGGAAUAUGCUCUAUUAGCUUGUUGGCGGGAUAAAAGCCCACCAAGGCAAUGAUAGAUAGCUGGUCUAAGAGGAUGAACAGCCACAAUGGGAUUGAGAUACGGCCCAUAUUCCUACGGGAAGCAGCAGUAGGGAAUCUUCCACAAUGGGCGAAAGCCUGAUGGAGCGAUGCCAUGUGAACGAUGAAGGUCUUUUUGAUUGUAAAGUUCUUUUAUAGGAGAAAAUAAUGAUUGUAUCCUAUGAAUAAGUGACAGCAAACUAUGUGCCAGCAGCUGCGGUAAUACAUAGGUCGCGAGCGUUAUUCGGAUUUAUUGGGCGUAAAGCAAGCGCAGGCGGACGGACAAGUUUUGUGUUAAAAGCAGUUGCUCAACAAUUGUUUGCGCUGAAUACUGUCCGUCUAGAAUACGGUAGGAAGUUUUGGAAUUUAAUAUGGAGCGGUGGAAUGUGUAGAUAUAUUAAAGAACACCAGAGGCGAAGGCGAAAACUUAGGCCGUUAUUGACGCUUAGGCUUGAAAGUGUGGGGAGCAAAUGGGAUUAGAUACCCCAGUAGUCCACACCGUAAACGAUGGAUAUUAGAUGUUGGGACUUGCGUCUCAGCGUUGUAGCUUACGUGUUAAAUAUCCCGCCUGGGUAGUACAUAUGCAAAUAUGAAACUCAAAGGAAUUGACGGGGACCUGAACAAGUGGUGGAACAUGUUGCUUAAUUCGAUAAUACACGAAAAACCUUACCAAGGUUUGACAUCCCCAGCAAAGCUAUAGAAAUAUAGUGGAGGUUAUCUGGGUGACAGGUGGUGCAUGGCUGUCGUCAGCUCGUGUCAUGAGAUGUUUGGUUAAGUCCCGCAACGAGCGCAACCCCACUCUUUAGUUGUUUUUCUAAAGAGACUGAACAGUAAUGUAUAGGAAGGUUGGG